rnacentral:rRNA from 1 species
UACGGAGGGGGCAAGCGUUGUUCGGAAUUACUGGGCGUAAAGGGCGCGUAGGCGGCCCCUUUUGUCGCGUGUGAAAGCCCCGGGCUCAACCUGGGAGGUGCGCGCGAAACGGGGGGGCUUGAGUUCGGGAGAGGAGCGUGGAAUUCCCAGUGUAGAGGUGAAAUUCGUAGAUAUUGGGAAGAACACCGGUGGCGAAGGCGGCGCUCUGGACCGAGACUGACGCUGAGGCGCGAAAGCGUGGGGAGCAAACAGG